GAUGAACGCUGGCGGCGUGCCUAAUACAUGCAAGUCGAGCGAACGGACGAGAAGCUUGCUUCUCUGAUGUUAGCGGCGGACGGGUGAGUAACACGUGGAUAACCUACCUAUAAGACUGGGAUAACUUCGGGAAACCGGAGCUAAUACCGGAUAAUAUUUUGAACCGCAUGGUUCAAAAGUGAAAGACGGUCUUGCUGUCACUUAUAGAUGGAUCCGCGCUGCAUUAGCUAGUUGGUAAGGUAACGGCUUACCAAGGCAACGAUGCAUAGCCGACCUGAGAGGGUGAUCGGCCACACUGGAACUGAGACACGGUCCAGACUCCUACGGGAGGCAGCAGUAGGGAAUCUUCCGCAAUGGGCGAAAGCCUGACGGAGCAACGCCGCGUGAGUGAUGAAGUUCUUCGGAUCGUAAAACUCUGUUAUUAGGGAAGAACAUAUGUGUAAGUAACUGUGCACAUCUUGACGGUACCUAGUCAGAAAGCCACGGCUAACUACGUG
rnacentral:rRNA from 1 species